GAUGAACGCUAGCUACAGGCUUAACACAUGCAAGUCGAGGGGUAACGAGGAGAGAGCUUGCUUUUUCCGUCGACGACCGGCGCACGGGUGAGUAACGCGUAUCCAACCUACCUUCAGCUAAGGAACAGCCCGUCGAAAGGCGGAUUAAUACCUUAUGUUGUUUCAUGAUGCCAUCAGAAAGAAACGAAAGAUUUAUCGGCUGAGGAUGGGGAUGCGUCUGAUUAGAUUGUUGGCGGGGCAACGGCCCACCAAGUCAUCGAUCAGUAGGGGUUCUGAGAGGAAGGUCCCCCACAUUGGAACUGAGACACGGUCCAAACUCCUACGGGAGGCAGCAGUGAGGAAUAUUGGUCAAUGGGCGAGAGCCUGAACCAGCCAAGUAGCGUGCAGGAUGACGGCCCUAUGGGUUGUAAACUGCUUAUACACGGGGAUAAAGUGGUCGACGUGUCGUCCAUUGCAGGUACCGUGCGAAUAAGGACCGGCUAAUUCCGUGCCAGCCGCCGCAGUAAGAC
rnacentral:rRNA from 1 species